AGAGUUUGAUCCUGGCUCAGGAUGAACGCUAGCUACAGGCUUAACACAUGCAAGUCGAGGGGAAACGAUAGAGAAAGCUUGCUUUUUCUAGGCGUCGACCGGCGCACGGGUGAGUAACGCGUAUCCAACCUGCCCACCACUUGGGGAUAACCUUGCGAAAGUAAGACUAAUACCCAAUGACGUCUCUAGAAGACAUCUGAAAGGGAUUAAAGAUUUAUCGGUGAUGGAUGGGGAUGCGUCUGAUUAGCUUGUUGGCGGGGUAACGGCCCACCAAGGCUACGAUCAGUAGGGGUUCUGAGAGGAAGGUCCCCCACAUUGGAACUGAGACACGGUCCAAACUCCUACGGGAGGCAGCAGUGAGGAAUAUUGGUCAAUGGGCGAGAGCCUGAACCAGCCAAGUAGCGUGCAGGAUGACGGCCCUAUGGGUUGUAAACUGCUUUUAUAAGGGAAUAAAGUGAGCCUCGUGAGGCUUUUUGCAUGUACCUUAUGAAUAAGGACCGGCUAAUUCCGUGCCAGCAGCCGCGGUAAUACGGAAGGUCCGGGCGUUAUCCGGAUUUAUUGGGUUUAAAGGGAGCGUAGGCCGGAGAUUAAGCGUGUUGUGAAAUGUAGGUGCUCAACAUCUGCACUGCAGCGCGAACUGGUUUCCUUGAGUACGCACAAAGUGGGCGGAAUUCGUGGUGUAGCGGUGAAAUGCUUAGAUAUCACGAAGAACUCCGAUUGCGAAGGCAGCUCACUGGAGCGCAACUGACGCUGAAGCUCGAAAGUGCGGGUAUCGAACAGGAUUAGAUACCCUGGUAGUCCGCACGGUAAACGAUGGAUGCCCGCUGUUGGUCUGAAUAGGUCAGCGGCCAAGCGAAAGCAUUAAGCAUCCCACCUGGGGAGUACGCCGGCAACGGUGAAACUCAAAGGAAUUGACGGGGGCCCGCACAAGCGGAGGAACAUGUGGUUUAAUUCGAUGAUACGCGAGGAACCUUA
rnacentral:rRNA from 1 species